GGCCCAAUGGUCUAGAGGUAAGAUACUUGCUUUGGGAAAACCGGGGUUCGAAGCUCGGUUGUCAAUUGCAAGGGAUCCUGGGUUCGAAUCCCAGUUGGGCCC